UAAAGUGACUUGAAAUUGACUUGGUUUGACAUUAUCUCAAGAACCCAAGAUAACAUUAUUGAUACCUUGGGAAGUCAUAGAAAUAAAGUUGAAUGUCACUGAUCUGAGAGUAGAGUCCAGAAAGAAGUAGCUUUGGUUCCUGAUCGGUUUAUCCUCAGGUGUUUGAGUAAGGCUUGGCCAUGAGCCACCCAAGGAGCCAAGUGGUGGUCUGCGUCCAUAUUUCAGCAUGCAUUUCAAUUUUCUCCUCAGUUCUUAGUGUUCAUUGCCUUUGUUUUUUCCCAGGAAAUGUUUUAGUUUGAACCUUAAAACCAGAUUUAUAUAUUGUAAAAAGAUUUUCACAGAGACUGUGUUUUAGGAGGCCUCAAUCAUCUGUGUGGGAUGUAUAAAAAUUUAAGAAUAAAUAUCAUUUUUAUGUCAUUUCUACACUCCCAAGGGAAAAUUUCAAUUCCCAGCUCACCAAAAGGUUAAAUACUAGUUGAUUUAACCACUAUCCUGCAGAAAAUUUGAAAUAGUAAAGGUUAAAUUUUGACUGGUGCUUAGACAUUUCCUCAUUACAUUAACUCAAGACAGCAGCAUAUUAACCUGAAUCACACCUGUAAGGAACUUACCUUCUAAAUUUGACUUUGUUCUUCAUC
rnacentral:lncRNA from 1 species